GACGAACCGAGCGAACGUUAUUCGGAAUCACUGGGCGUAAAGGGCGUGUAGGCGGGCAGGCAAGUCAGAUGUGAAAUCCCCAGGCUCAACCUGGGAACUGCAUUUGAAACUCCCUUUCUUGAGUACCGGAGAGGAAAGUGGAAUUCCUGGUGUAGAGGUGAAAUUCGUAGAUAUCAGGAGGAACACCAGUGGCGAAGGCGGCUUUCUGGACGGUAACUGACGCUGAGACGCGAAAGCGUGGGGAGCAAACAGG
rnacentral:rRNA from 1 species